AUCCUGAAUGUGAUUUAUGCCCAGUUACAUUACAGUUUUGGCUUUAAUGGGAACUGGACUGUGCUACCUACAAACACGGUAGUAAAGAGACAAUCAUUUGUGGGUGUGUGAACGUGCGCACAUUCGCAGUAGUGUUGUUGGUAGCGGUGGCAAGAAGCAAUGUGAGUGUUUUUAAAUAGCUCAUGCUCUGCAAUGCCAGGUUUUAACACGUAGCCUUCUCAGUCACUUUCUCUUUCCUUUUUAAGCAUACAAGCUGGAGUGGGAGCUGCUCAGUAUUCCCAGGCUUUCAUAUAUAUAUAUAUAUACACUAACCUACAUUUGCUAGCUAGGUGGCAAGUGGAGUGAUUAAAGGGUCAGCUGUGCUGCUUGGGACAAGGGGCAGGAGACCCGUGUAAUUCAAGAAGACUUGAAAGGGGAGGAAGCGAUGGCCUUUAGGGAAAAAUGGAAUACAUUUCUUCAGGACAGAACUGAAAGCUGACAAUAUCCCCAGGGCUCUGCCACAACUCUUUCUCUCAAAGUAAGGGCUGGCUCUCUAUCUCCCUGGCCUCUCAUGUUUUAAAGUGAAAUGUGGAGAGAAUGGACAGUAUGAAACAAUGGGAGGUGACAAGUCCUUCCCUGCUUUUCUCUUAGGUGACGGGUCCCAGGAUCCAGGCAAGGUGCCCGGGACAGCCGGUGGGACAGCACUGCUGGCGAGACUCCCUGUGCCACUGAGGCCAACCACAGCAUCAGGCACUGAACACAUCCCAGUGCUCUGUGGCAAAACACAGAACUUGUGCUACAGACAUCUUCAAAACUUACAUGGGGAAGAGAUGCUCCUUCAGUCAGGUAACCUACUAUUAGAACUAUGUUUUCAAAUAUAAUAGCUCUGUUGUCUUAAUUGUGUUACUAUGGUGGCCAGUUAGGAAUGACAUGGAAAAGCUUUUGGGGGUUCGCCAAGUCCAUUUCCCUCCCUUGAGUGUGGAGCAAGCUUGGUUGCUAAUUACAAGAAAAUUGUUGUUUUUUUUUUUCCUGGAUGUCCUGCCCCUUCUAGACAGAAUCUAUGAUGACUACGAUGUCAAAGUUUCAGUGAGACAUGACCUUCUUUCUCCUGAUAUCACACAUUCAUUCGAAGGUGAACCAAUCUUGAGCAGAGUGUAAUCUAGAUUUUGCCAGUGCCAUCCUAUUCCUAACAUUAACAACCAAAGCUGAAAUAUUGAAAGUACUCACAUAGACAAGCUUAACUUAUGUAGGAUAUUUUUUCCACAUCAGAAAUGUAAGUGAAUUUACUUAUCAUGAAUGUGCUUAUUUCACUCUCAUGUGGCACUUCUGUAUUCCACAGCCCAAAUACAGUAAUCUUUUACCUGCAAAACCUCUAUCGGGUUCCAGGUCUCUACUGAACUCCAGUUGCUGUGUGUUCUAAAGUGCAAAACUUUCUUUUGCUCAAACAAAGGUUAUAUAUACAGGAAAAUACAUGGACUGAUACAUUCUCCUGGAUCUAGGCUGCGUGUUGAAGAGUUAGAUCGCAAGCAAACGUCAAUCCACAGACCUUCAUUUUGCAAACACUGUACUUCUGGAGACACUACUACCUCUGGGAAACUAGUCACCACUAGGUGCUGGGGUUGUCCCAAGGGGCUUUGAUGCAGCUAGUCACAUCAGCUGAAAACAUUUCUACCAUUGAUCUAUGCUCACAUACUGUCAGGAAACAAGGAAGAGCACCAUUUUUCCACUCCUUGCAGAGGGCACUGGUGACACUGUUAACCAAAGAGCCAUCUGCAAGGUAUAUGUACGGCUGUGGUCUCCUCCUGUUUGUAAGUUAAGCUUUAGCAGGUAUACAGCUUUCCAGAAAUGGAAGGUUUAUUCCCUGUCACAGAGCCCAUAUUAAUGCUAUUUCUUGCAUGAAAACAGUAGGGAUGACUGAGAUUCAGUUUGACAUUUACAACUCAUCACCAAUACAACGACCUCUCAAAAGAACCUGAAGAGUUUUGUCUGGUAAUAACACUAAUACAGGGACUUAAAAAAUGUCCAUCAUCACUGGAAGUACAUUUAACUGAAAAUCUGUAUUUCUGUUGGAAAAUAAAGACGAUGUUACCAAAGCUACA
ensembl:lncRNA